rnacentral:rRNA from 1 species
UGGGGAAUAUUGGACAAUGGGGGGAACCCUGAUCCAGCCAUGCCGCGUGUGUGAAGAAGGCCUUAUGGUUGUAAAGCACUUUAAGCGAGGAGGAGGGUACUGGUAUUAAUACUACCAGGUACUGGACGUUACUCGCAGAAUAAGCACCGGCUAACUCUGUGCCAGCAGCCGCGGUAAUACAGAGGGUGCGACCGUUAAUCGGAUUUACUGGGCGUAAAGCGUGCGUAGGCGGCUAAUUGAGUCGGAUGUGAAAUCCCCGAGCUUAACUUGGGAAUUGCAUUCGAUACUGGUUAGCUAGAGGGUGGGAGAGGAUGGUAGAAUUCCAGGUGUAGCGGUGAAAUGCGUAGAGAUCUGGAGGAAUACCGAUGGCGAAGGCAGCCAUCUGGCCUAACACUGACGCUGAGGUACGAAAGCAUGGGGAGCAAACAGG